rnacentral:rRNA from 71 species
GCGGUGGUCCCACCUGACCCCAUGCCGAACUCAGAAGUGAAACGCCGUAGCGCCGAUGGUAGUGUGGGGUCUCCCCAUGCGAGAGUAGGGAACUGCCAGGC